CUUCUCUCCCCGAUAGAAUUAGGUAUGCUUUACAAUAAUUUGUGAUGAAUCGUUAAAAUCCUCUGGGUCUGUUUUGUAUUUUGUUUUGAGGUCCGGAUGAAUCGAUUUUCGGCUUUAGGGUUUCUGUUAUUUGAUCAAGAGAGAUUAAAGUGGUUGGACGCAGAUUGAAGUUCUUUAGGUUCUUGUGGGAAAUCUAUUUUGAUCUUGAUGAUGGAGAUUCAGUCUGAAUGGCUUGGUUUUUCGUGAUUUUUGGAAGUAGGAAAACCUAGUGCGGGUGUAUAUUUGUGAUGCUGUUCUAAAUUGACAGAAUUUGGUUUCGUUAGAUUAGGGUUUCCCUUUAUGUGAGAAAAUCUAGCGUUACUCGAGUUAGUUCCACACUUCAUGUUAUAAGCGUUUUGAAUGUAUGUGGCUUAAGUUUUCGCUUAACACUGUGAAGAUCAAAGGUCAGGAUCUCUUAUGUAGUAAUUUAACAUACUAAUUUUCCUUCUAAUGGAGGCUAGGUUCACUAUUCCUGUUGUAUCUGCUGUUAGUUGCAGUCAGGAGAAGAGGGAGAAGAAGAAGAAGAAAAGGACGACCCCAGAUCGCGUCGGCAUCCAAAGGCAUCUCAGCCAGCCUCCGCCAGAUUUGCUGGCAGCAGAGGAGCCGGAUCUCAGCGAAACGCUGAAUCUAAAUUUCUCAAAAUUUGACCGAAUGCUGAAUCUAUAACGGUCAAAUUUUGAGAAAUUUAAUUACUUUGGACUUUGUGCAGAUCAUCUGGAGAAGUGGUUCCAAACAUUGGGGAUAUGCAGGGGCUGUUGGUUCCGUCCAACAUUGGAGAUCUGCAGGGGCUGUUGGUUCCGUCCAACGUUGUGGAUCAGACAAUGUCGUCCCAUAUCUGCUUGAUUGAUCUGAGAAGGAGGUACACAACCCAUGCCAUGUCUCAGGCCAUAUCUCAAAUAAUGCUCUUACCACAACAUCUUGAUCCUGAAGAUGGUUACAGGCUUUUUAUCACCAUGUGCUUUAGCGAAUACCUCAAAUAACCACUUGAAAGAUUCGACCGUCUUAUUGUAUAAAAAUGUAGCCUCGAAUAUAGUGCAACAUUGUGAUGAUUAAACCCAGUAAAUAACCCAAAUGGCCUAUACUCUUUGUUUGUACAAAAUGUAGUGUCAAAGCUAACUACAUCUUCAAAUUGUCGUAGUUAAUUAUCAUCUUCGGAUCAGCCCAAAAUAUAUUAGUUAUAUGUUCUUCAUUAUCUAGUUGCAUUGCAUACGUAAAAUAAGGGUUAUUUCUACUUUGGUUAACAAAAUACUUCAACAAACUGCCUACUUCACUAUAAGAUAGGGCACACAUUCUUUUUGUACGGAGAUAGUUCCUAACAUUUUCAGUCGUGUAGAUAAAGUUCUCUCUCCCACCAACUUGCCUACUCAUGUACUCAAAUGUGGAUUUAGGUAUGAUCCCGAGUCAUCCACCAAGUCAAUUUCAUAUCUAUAUAUAUUUGACAUAUUCCUCUGGGAAUGCAUCAAAUGAGUAGUAGUUGAAAUAUGAAGAAUGUGAUCAUGUUCUUCAACAAUAAUCUUUAGAACUUUCUUCCAUUUUUUUUUUUUGUUCCUUAUUUUUUGUUUAUGUUCUACUUUAUCUCUUCCAUUGCACUAUAUACUUUAGGAAAAGCCUCUCAUCACCAUCUACUAUCCUUAAGAGUUUAGGUUAUGAUGCUCUUAGGCAAUCUUGCACACCAUUCCAGAAAGCUAUGGCAAGCACUGUAUUAGUUGCUUUCUUCUCAACCUCUAUAAUAGCCAUAAAAAAUGAUUAAUUGCCUCAAAGAAUCCUUAUGCUUUAAUAAGAUUUGAAGUGUUAAAAAUGUAGUGACGAAUCUAGUCACUCCAGCCCUCACUAAGUCUGCUCUCCUUGUUUCUAUUCUAUAGCUUCAAGAGGGCGAGUGUGCACAUAGAAGAAGCUAGUUAAUUUUAUCCCCUUUAAUAAAAUAGAUAUGAUUUUAAAUUGCCUAUGUCCUCCAUCAUAAGAUCUAGGCAAUAAGCUAUAUAUGGAGUCCAAAACAACUUCCUUUUCUCCAUUCAUCUACUAGUUGGAACAAAGUUGGCAGCAUUGUCAGUGACUACUUGAAUCACAUAAUCCUCCUCAAUCUCUUCAACCUUACCAUCAAUAACAUAUUGAAAUCUUGCCCUUGACUAGAUGCAUCCAUAGAAACCCCCCCCCCCCCAAAAAAAAAAGUCCCUUCCGGAAAAUUGACAAGAAAAUUAAUAAGGUGCCUUCCUCUUUUGUCUAUCCACCCAUUAGACAUGAGAGUGCACCCAUAACUCUUCUAAUAAGUUUGAUGUUUACCCUUAUUUCAGAAAGUUUUUCUUUUUCAGACUUCAAUAUAGUAUCUCCUGUCAUGAAAUGAAGGGGCUUAAAACCUGGCCCAUACAGUCCAAUGGCCUCAACCAAAUCCUUGAAGCUCCGAUUAUUGAUAGGCAUUGAGCAAGUCAAAUGGAGCGACUGCUAUAUUCUGCUGCGUUUUUUUUUUUCCCAUCCAAAUGAGUUAUUUAAGGCUGUUGAGAUGGAUCCAAAUAACUCCGUCUCCAUGAUUCAUAAAGCAAGUGAAUCAUGAUGCACCUUUGCAAGGCAAGAUCAUGGAACAAGCUGAAGUUUAUAUUAGAGCUAGUGGAAGUUUUGCAAAGGAAAUGGCAGUUUAAUCCUACCGCUUGAUGGCAAAGACAUGGAAGCUCUACCAUUGAUCUUACAAAGGAUGCAAACUUGGUCUUUGUUGCUCAUCUUCUGGUUGUGAGCGCAAUUGGAGCACAUUUGAGUUUAUGGCACUGGGGAGGACCCCUAGUCUACUCCUGGUUCCCGUCACCUAAGCACUGGGGAGGACCACACUCUAGUCUCUGUGUACCUCAUCCGGUACCUAUCCCCCUACUGAAAAGGCGUCGCAGUCACACGACCCAGUUUACAUACAUUCAUUCCUUUCACUUUCCUUUCUUUUCUAUUUCAUUCCAUUCAUGAUAUAUUCAUGCAACUUAUCAUCAUAGUGAUGUUCUUUAACUCAUUUCAUAAUUCUUAUGCUUAAGAUGCAUAACUUCAUCUACUACUUACUCAACCUUAUGGUCCUUUUUCCAACUAAAUGGGGUCGGCUACACCUGCAUAACUUCAUCAUAGCAUAUUUAUUCCAUCAAGUCCAUAAGCCAUGCUUCAUUUUUAUCAUGGUAACUACAAACAUUAUGCACUUAAAUUUUUACAGGGUCAAGGUUAUGCAGAAUCUCAUAUGGUUUGAAAAUGAGGAGUUUAAUGCCUUUUGUUUCUACUUACUUACAAAGCAUGGCAGGAGGAGGUGACAUGUAGUGUUUUCAAAUUGUUAUACUUUUUAUAGAUAAUGUAUGAUGGAACAACUGCUGGUGCAGUAUUCUCUAAAUGGCUAAUAUGAAGUUUAGCAGCUUCAUAUUUGAUGAUGCCACGGGGAUCUUGUAGGUAUAAGUCUAAAUCUGUAAUUUGUGGUCCUGUAUUCACUCUCAAAACUCACUUUUGCACCAAAUCUUUUCAAUAUGUCACUGCAAAGCCUGCAAGUAUUUUCUGGGGUGUUCCAACAUUCAAGAAAUCAUUCUUUGUUGCUUCCAUGCAUCAUGUUAUAUUUUCUUUGAUAUUUACUUGGACUUAGCAGUUUUAAGAUUGAAAAUCUUAAAUUAAAUGUUUUUGCUUUGAGAAAUGAGGGGAAUGACUAAAUCAAAUGAUUGAUGCCCACCAAUUUCCCAAAAAGUUAUAUUCUUCUGAAUCCAAGUGUCUUCAAGGUUUACGCACUCCAAUUUCCUCUCGAACUGGAUCAGAAGCAUUGAUUUGCUUCUACCUUUCAUGCAGUGAAGCAGAGUACAUUUAAAAGGGAAUCUAAGACCCAAAAUCCAUGUUCAAUCUAGAGCUAACUCUUGAAAUCCUAUACAGAACUAAAAACCAAAAGUUCUAGGACAUGGUUGCAGUGCAGUGCCUUUACCUGUAUCAGCUUUCCUAAGAUUCCCCCUCCUGACAGGGCAUUGGGCCAUUGGGUUGGGUGAAUUCUAAAAGCAUAAGUUCUCAAGUACCAGUACAUGCGUAUGCAAGGUUUUCCACUUUGCUUAGUUCUUCUAAACCUUUGAUCACUGAAUUUUGAUACCUGAGCUCCUAGUGAUACUAAUAUGAGAAAUAAGUUUCUUUAGAAGGAAGGCCUUAGAUCAGUACUGCUCAAAAAGAGUGACUUUUUUUUUGGGUAAGACUCAACAAGCAUGAUUGGUGGCAGCUAUAACUGCAAUGCUGUUGUCCUGAUUGGUGCCCUUUAUACUAAAAAAGAAUUCAAUGGAUCUAGUUAUUGCUGGCCUAUGCCAACUUAUGAUGCCGUAAUAUUUUCCUUGGAUGAGGAUGCCAUAAUGCAUGAGACAAUUUUGUCACCUCUCUCUUAUAAUUCAUUAGCUUUUGAAUAUGUAAUUCUCUUAUUUGUUAUGGACUCCAUAUGUAUUCUGAAUUUGGAAAAAAAUAAACAUCUAGUUUUCUCAUGUUGGUCCGUUUUAUAUUGGAAUUUAGAACGCUUGAUGAAACAGGUAACAAAUGUCAAAAGCUCAACUUAGCCACCUACAAGGGGUUUGCCAUCUGUCACAGGGUUUCAAUUGGUUAUCUCCAAGCUCAAGUUCCUCUCUUGUUUAUCUUCGAAUUAUCCUGAUUCCUCUGGUCCUAUUGUUUCAUUGAACAUGUUUAUCAUUUGUCCAAGUUGGCUGCCUGACCAUGUAACCUUAACGGCUUGUUUCAUUGGGAAACCAUCCACCUGUGAGUUCUACAGUUACAAAUGCAGUUGUGGAGUUCCUACGAAUCCUUGCAGAUAUAUUGAAAUUCCAGAAAGAUUCUUUUAGUGAAGAGCAACUUGAGGUACAUCGAUAAAAAUUUCUUCCCUGACAGGCUUUAUGCAUUUGUAUUUGGGGAAGUAGGGUAUAUGGUUUCUGUAGUGGCAGAUUUUGGUCAGUACAUCUUCAUCUUCAUAUUU